rnacentral:rRNA from 1 species
UACGUAGGGUCCAAGCGUUGUCCGGAUUUAUUGGGCGUAAAGAGCUCGUAGGCGGUUUGGUACGUCGGGUGUGAAAACUCCAGGCUCAACUUGGAGAUGCCACCCGAUACUGCUCUGACUUGAGUUCGGUAGGGGAGUGGGGAAUUCCUGGUGUAGCGGUGAAAUGCGCAGAUAUCAGGAGGAACACCGGUGGCGAAGGCGCCACUCUGGGCCGAAACUGACGCUGAGGAGCGAAAGCGUGGGUAGCAAACAGG